AUUGAACGCUGGCGGCAGGCCUAACACAUGCAAGUCGAACGGUAACAGGAAGCAGCUUGCUGCUUCGCUGACGAGUGGCGGACGGGUGAGUAAUGUCUGGGAAGCUGCCUGAUGGAGGGGGAUAACUACUGGAAACGGUAGCUAAUACCGCAUAAUGUCGCAAGACCAAAGAGGGGGACCUUCGGGCCUCUUGCCAUCGGAUGUGCCCAGAUGGGAUUAGCUUGUUGGUGGGGUAACGGCUCACCAAGGCGACGAUCCCUAGCUGGUCUGAGAGGAUGACCAGCCACACUGGAACUGAGCAACGGUCCAGACUCCUACGGAGGCAGCAGUGGGGAAUAUUGCACAAAGGGCGCAAGCCUGAUGCAGCCAUGCCGCGUGUAUGAAGAAGGCCUUCGGGUUGUAAAGUACUUUCAGCGGGGAGGAAGGGAGUAAAGUUAAUACCUUUGCUCAUUGACGUUACCCGCAGAAGAAGCACCGGCUAACUCCGUG
rnacentral:rRNA from 1 species